rnacentral:rRNA from 1 species
AGAGUUUGAUCCUGGCUCAGGAUGAACGCUGGCGGCGUGCCUAACACAUGCAAGUCGAACGAAGCACUGAGACUUCGGUUUUUGUGCUUAGUGACGGACGGGUGAGUAACGCGUGAGCAAUCUGCCUUUCAGAGGGGGAUAACGAUUGGAAACGAUCGCUAAUACCGCAUAACGUAUUCGGACGGCAUCAUCUGAAUACCAAAGGAGCAAUCCGCUGAAAGAUGAGCUCGCGUCUGAUUAGAUAGUUGGUGAGGUAACGGCCCACCAAGUCGACGAUCAGUAGCCGGACUGAGAGGUUGAACGGCCACAUUGGGACUGAGACACGGCCCAGACUCCUACGGGAGGCAGCAGUGGGGAAUAUUGCGCAAUGGGGGAAACCCUGACGCAGCAACGCCGCGUGAUUGAAGAAGGUCUUCGGAUUGUAAAAAUCUUUUAUCAAGGACGAAGAAGUGACGGUACUUGAUGAAUAAGCUCCGGCUAACUACGUGCCAGCAGCCGCGGUAAUACGUAGGGAGCAAGCGUUAUCCGGAUUUACUGGGUGUAAAGGGCGAGUAGGCGGAUUGGCAAGUUGGGAGUGAAAUGUCGGGGCUUAACCCCGGAACUGCUUCCAAAACUGUUGAUCUUGAGUGAUGGAGAGGCAGGCGGAAUUCCCAGUGUAGCGGUGAAAUGCGUAGAUAUUGGGAGGAACACCAGUGGCGAAGGCGGCCUGCUGGACAUUAACUGACGCUGAGGAGCGAAAGCGUGGGGAGCAAACAGGAUUAGAUACCCCGGUAGU